UUGAACGCUGGCGGCAUGCCUUACACAUGCAAGUCGAACGGCAGCACGGGGGCAACCCUGGUGGCGAGUGGCGAACGGGUGAGUAAUACAUCGGAACGUGCCCAGUGGUGGGGGAUAGCCCGGCGAAAGCCGGAUUAAUACCGCAUACGACCUAUGGGUGAAAGCGGGGGAUCGCAAGACCUCGCGCCAUCGGAGCGGCCGAUGUCAGAUUAGGUUGUUGGUGGGGUAAAGGCCCACCAAGCCGACGAUCUGUAGCUGGUCUGAGAGGACGACCAGCCACACUGGGACUGAGACACGGCCCAGACUCCUACGGAGGCAGCAGUGGGGAAUUUUGGACAAUGGGCGCAAGCCUGAUCCAGCCAUGCCGCGUGCGGGAAGAAGGCCUUCGGGUUGUAAACCGCUUUUGUCAGGGAAGAAACGCACUGGGCUAAUACCUCGGUGUAAUGACGGUACCUGAAGAAUAAGCACCGGCUAACUACGUGCCAGCAGCCGCGGUAAUACGUAGGGUGCAAGCGUUAAUCGGAAUUACUGGGCGUAAAGCGUGCGCAGGCGGUCGUGCAAGACAGAUGUGAAAUCCCCGGGCUUAACUUGGGAACUGCAUUUGUGACUGCAUGGCUGGAGUGCGGCAGAGGGGGAUGGAAUUCCGCGUGUAGCAGUGAAAUGCGUAGAUAUGCGGAGGAACACCGAUGGCGAAGGCAAUCCCCUGGGCCUGCACUGACGCUCAUGCACGAAAGCGUGGGGAGCAAACAGGAUUAGAUACCCUGGUAGUCCACGCCCUAAACGAUGUCAACUGGUUGUUGGACGGCUUGCUGUUCAGUAACGAAGCUAACGCGUGAAGUUGACCGCCUGGGGAGUACGGCCGCAAGGUUGAAAACUCAAGGGAAUUGACGGGGACCCGCACAAGCGGUGGAUGAUGUGGUUUAAUUCGAUGCAACGCGAAAAACCUUACCUACCCUUGACAUGCCAGGAAUCCCGCAGAGAUGUGGGAGUGCUCGAAAGAGAACUUGGGCACAGGUGCUGCAUGGCCGUCGUCAGCUCGUGUCGUGAGAUGUUGGGUUAAGUCCCGCAACGAGCGCAACCCUUAUCCUUAGUUGCUACGCAAGGGCACUCUAAUGAGACUGCCGGUGACAAACCGGAGGAAGGUGGGGAUGACUGUCAGGUCCUCAUGGCCCUUACUGGGUAGGGCUUACACACGUCAUACAAUGGUCCGGUCCAGAGGGCUGCCAACCCGCGAGGGGAGCCUAAUCCAGCAAAACCCGGAUCGUAGUCCGGAUUGCAGUCUGCAACUCGACUGCAUGAAGUCGGAAUCGCUAGUAAUCGCGGAUCAGCCUGCCGCGGUGAAUACGUUCCCGGGUCUUGUACACACCGCCCGUCACACCAUGGGAGUGAGUUUUACCAGAAGUAGCUGGUCUAACCGCAAGGAGGAUGGUUACCACGGUAGGAUUCAUGACUGGGGUG
rnacentral:rRNA from 1 species